rnacentral:rRNA from 1 species
AGUCAAGUAAUUAAGUGCAUGUGGUGGAUGCCUUGGCAGUCAGAGGCGAUGAAAGACGUGAUAGCCUGCGAAAAGCUCCGGGGAGGCGGCAAAUAUCCUUUGAUCCGGAGAUGUCUGAAUGGGGGAACCCACCUACUUUAAGGUAGGUAUUGCAACAUGAAUACAUAGUGUUGCAAGGCGAACGAGGGGAAGUGAAACAUCUCAGUACCCUUAGGAAAAGAAAUCAAUUGAGAUUCCCUCAGUAGCGGCGAGCGAACGGGGAUCAGCCCAUUAAGUUAUGUGUGUUUUAGUGGAACGCUCUGGGAAGUGCGAACGUAGAGGGUGAUAUUCCCGUACACGAAAGGGCACACAUAAUGAUGACGAGUAGGGCGAGGCACGUGAAACCUUGUCUGAAUAUGGGGGGACCAUCCUCCAAGGCUAAAUACUCCUGACUGACCGAUAGUGAACCAGUACCGUGAGGGAAAGGCGAAAAGAACCCCUGUGAGGGGAGUGAAAUAGAUCCUGAAACCGCAUGCAUACAAGCAGUGGGAGCACCUUCGUGGUGUGACUGCGUACCUUUUGUAUAAUGGGUCAGCGACUUAUAUUCAGUAGCGAGGUUAACCGUAUAGGGGAGCCGUAGAGAAAUCGAGUCUUAAUAGGGCGUUUAGUUGCUGGGUAUAGACCCGAAACCAGGCGAUCUAUCCAUGAGCAGGUUGAAGGUUGGGUAACACUAACUGGAGGACCGAACCCACUGUCGUUGAAAAGCCAGGGGAUGACUUGUGGAUAGGGGUGAAAGGCUAAUCAAGCCUGGUGAUAGCUGGUUCUCCCCGAAAGCUAUUUAGGUAGCGCCUCGGACGAAUACCAUAGGGGGUAGAGCACUGUUUCGGCUAGGGGGUCAUCCCGACUUACCAAACCGAUGCAAACUCCGAAUACCUAUGAGUACUAUCCGGGAGACAGACUGCGGGUGCUAACGUCCGUAGUCAAGAGGAAAACAAUCCAGACCGCCAGCUAAGGCCCCAAAAUCAUAGUUAAGUGGGAAACGAUGUGGGAAGGCAUAGACAGCUAGGAGGUUGGCUUAGAAGCAGCCACCCUUUAAAGAAAGCGUAAUAGCUCACUAGUCGAGUCGGCCUGCGCGGAAGAUGUAACGGGGCUAAAACUAUGUGCCGAAGCUGCGGAUGUAUACUUUGUAUACGUGGUAGGGGAGCGUUCUGUAAGCCGAUGAAGGUGUGUUGAGAAGCAUGCUGGAGGUAUCAGAAGUGCGAAUGCUGACGUGAGUAACGACAAAACGGGUGAAAAACCCGUUCGCCGAAAGACCAAGGGUUCCAGUCCAACGUUAAUCGGGGCUGGGUGAGUCGACCCCUAAGGCGAGGCCGAAAGGCGUAGUCGAUGGGAAAAUGGUUAAUAUUCCAUUACUUCUGUGUAAUGCGAUGAGAGGACGGAGAAGGCUAAAUCAGCCUGGCGUUGGUUGUCCAGGUGAAAGGAUGUAGGCAUGUAUCUUAGGCAAAUCCGGGGUACUCUAUGCUGAGAUCUGAUAGCAAGCUGUACUUGUACAGCGAAGUGGUUGAUGCCAUGCUUCCAGGAAAAGUCUCUAAGCUUCAGUUACACAGGAAUCGUACCCGAAACCGACACAGGUGGUCAGGUCGAGUAGACCAAGGCGCUUGAGAGAACUCUGCUGAAGGAACUAGGCAAAAUGGUACCGUAACUUCGGGAGAAGGUACGCUGUUGUUGGUGAUGGAACUCGCUUCCUGAGCUGACGACAGCCGCAGAAACCAGGCCGCUGCAACUGUUUAUUAAAAACAUAGCACUCUGCAAACACGAAAGUGGACGUAUAGGGUGUGAUGCCUGCCCGGUGCUGGAAGGUUAAUUGAUGGGGUUAGCGUAAGCGAAGCUCUUGAUCGAAGCCCCAGUAAACGGCGGCCGUAACUAUAACGGUCCUAAGGUAGCGAAAUUCCUUGUCGGGUAAGUUCCGACCUGC